rnacentral:rRNA from 1 species
UACGGAGGGGCAAGCGUUAUUCGGAAUUAUUGGGCGUAAAGGGCGCGUAGGCGGCUUGGUAAGUCAAAGGUGAAAUCCCUCGGCUCAACUGAGGAAUUGCCUUUGAAACUGCCUGCUUGAGGCCGGGAGGGGUAGCGGAAUUCCCAGUGUAGCGGUGAAAUGCGUAGAUAUCUGGAGGAACACCGGUGGCGAAGGCGGCAUCCUGGACCGGUAUUGACGCUGAGGCGCGAAAGCCAGGGAGCAAAGCGGG